UAUGAACGCUGGCGGCGUGCCUAACACAUGCAAGUCGAACGAAGCGUCUUAAAGGAAGUUUUCGGAUGGAAUUUGGGAUGACUGAGUGGCGGACGGGUGAGUAACGCGUGGAUAACCUGCCUCAUACAGGGGGAUAACAGCUAGAAAUGGCUGCUAAUACCGCAUAAGCGCACAGUGCCGCAUGGCAGUGUGUGAAAAACUCCGGUGGUAUGAGAUGGAUCCGCGUCUGAUUAGCCAGUUGGCGGGGUAACGGCCCACCAAAGCGACGAUCAGUAGCCGGCCUGAGAGGGCGACCGGCCACGAGUUGGACUGGAGCACGGCCCAA
rnacentral:rRNA from 1 species